AAUGAUCUCAACUGGGAAUAUAACUAUAUCUAAAGACAUUAUACUCAAAAAUGUCUUAUACAUUCCACAAUUCAAGGUUAAUUUGAUUUCAGUAAAUUAGGUUAACCUCUGAUUUAAAUUUAAAUGUAAUUUUUCAUAGAAUUAAAUGUGAUUUUCAGGAAAGCAAAUCAGGGAAAGUGAUUGGGCAGGAUAGAUGUCAAAAUAGAUUCUACUUUUUGAAGACACAAUUUCCUGAUUUUGCAUAUACAACCAUGGAUUUCCAAAUUUGGCAUAAAAGGCUCGAUCACAUUUCAACAGAGAAAAUGAAGCAUUUCAGUGAUUAGAAAUAA
rnacentral:lncRNA from 1 species